rnacentral:rRNA from 1 species
GACGAACGCUGGCGGCGUGCUUAACACAUGCAAGUCGAACGAGAGCGUAGAGAAAGCUUGCUUUUUCUACAAUCUAGUGGCAAACGGGUGAGUAACGCGUAAACAACCUGCCCUACGGAUGGGGACAACAGCUGGAAACGGCUGCUAAUACCGAAUACGUUCCGAAAGUCGCAUGACUAUCGGAAGAAAGGAUGGCCUCUAUUUAUAAGCUAUCGCCGGAGGAGGGGUUUGCGUCUGAUUAGCUAGUUGGAGGGGUAACGGCCCACCAAGGCGACGAUCAGUAGCCGGGCUGAGAGGAUGAACGGCCACAUUGGAACUGAGACACGGUCCAGACUCCUACGGGAGGCAGCAGUGGGGAAUCUUCCGCAAUGGGCGAAAGCCUGACGGAGCAACGCCGCGUGAGUGAAGACGGCCUUCGGGUUGUAAAGCUCUGUUAUACGGGACGAAUAAUCUUGUGGUUAAUACCCAUGAGAAGUGACGGUACCGUAAGAGAAAGCCACGGCUAACUACGUG